rnacentral:rRNA from 1 species
GACAGAGGUGCCGAGCGUUGGGCGGAAUCACUGGGCUUAAAGCGCGUGUAGGCGGGCCUUCAAGUCGGACGUGAAAGCCCUGAGCUCAACUCAGGAACUGCAUCCGAAACUGAAGGUCUGGAGUAGUGGAGAGGAAAGCAGAAUUCCUGGUGUAGAGGUGAAAUUCGUAGAUAUCAGGAGGAACACCGGUGGCGAAGGCGGCUUUCUGGACACUUACUGACGCUGAGACGCGAAAGCGUGGGGAGCAAACAGG